UACGUAGGGGGCUAGCGUUGUCCGGAUUUAUUGGGCGUAAAGAGCGUGUAGGCGGCCUGGUAGGUCUGCUGUGAAAACUCGAGGCUCAACCUCGAGAUGUCGGCGGAAACCAUCUGGCUAGAGUCCGGAAGAGGAGAGUGGAAUUCCUGGUGUAGCGGUGAAAUGCGCAGAUAUCAGGAAGAACACCUAUGGCGAAGGCAGCUCGCUGGGACGUAACUGACGCUGAGACGCGAAAGCGUGGGGAGCAAACAGG
rnacentral:rRNA from 1 species